AUAGGCUGUUGAAAAGGGACUAGAAACUGUAGCAGACAUUGCCUUCUUCAUCAUGUAUAUGAAUGCUGAAACGCAAUUCAUUCACUAGCCAUUUGCCAUGGAUUCCUUGUAUGCAUUAAGCUUGUCUUUCGCUAUCUUAUGGCUUUCGCUUCUCCCCGUUCUCACUGCCUCAAACCUUAACCACUACAUCACUCCAAACUUCACAGCCAACCGUAUCCAAUUCGUUGAGACUUCUGGCGCUUUCUUGGAAUCUCUUAAUGGCACUUUCCGAGCCUCUAUCAGUACUGCAGAUUCAAUACAGUCGCUUUUCUACUUCUCUGUCAUCCAUGUGGCCUCUAACACCAUCAUCUGGUCAGCCAACCGCAACGCUCCCGUUUCAUAUUCUGCUAUGCACUCACUCACCAUCCAUGGCCUUGGUAUCACUGAUGACUUGAACAGAGUUGUGUGGUCUACACCCUCAUUCAACUCUAAGGUUGCUGCUCUCCAGCUUCUAGAAACCGGGAACCUCAUCUUGGUUGAUGCACACAAUGUUUCUCUCUGGAACAGUUUUGAUUCUCCAACAGAUACUCUGAUCAUUGGACAAAGAUUGUAUCCUGGUCAAUCAUUGACUGCUGCUGUGGGAAACAACAACUUAUCUGUCGGUGAUUACAAGCUUGCAGUUACCAGUGAGGAUUUGGUUCUGCGAUGGAGGGGUCAAACUUAUUGGAAACUAUCCAUGGAAAGCAAAGCUUUUAAGAAUUCAGAUACACCAGUUUCCUACGUGGAAAUGAGUAGGACUGGUUUGUAUUUGUUUGGGGCUGAUGGCUUGAAGGCUGUGUUUCAAGUUUUCUUGGAACCCUCAGAUACAAAGAUUGCGAGGUUGGGAUAUGAAGGAAUUUUCAGCAUCAUUAGCUUCAUAGGAAGCAAGUGGGUGCAGGACUUUGUGAAGCCAGUUGAUAUCUGCCAACGUCCAUUUACUUGUGGAAAACUGGGAUUCUGCUCGAAUCAGAGUCCGACGUGCAUAUGUCCAACAGGUUUCCAUAAUGGUGCUCAGGAGCAUGAUGCUUGUGUGCCAAUACAAGACACCAUCUCUUUGCCUUCUUCCUGUAAUGGAAGUGGAAAUACCAGUGAGUUCAAUUCCUCAACUGUUUAUAUAGAACUGCAAAAAGGCAUGGACUAUUUUGAUUUAUGCUCACAAAACUGUUCUUGCCUGGGAAUUUUCCAUGAAAAUUCUUCUGGUUCUUGUUAUCUUCUCGAAUUCAAUUUAGGUUCCCUCAUGCCUAUGGCCUUUGGUGAGGAAGGGCUAUUAGGGUACAUUAAGGCUCUCUCAACUGUGUCUGUAAUCCCGGAAGAGAAUAAGAAACAUGGUUUAGCAGUAUCAAGUUUGGUGGUUAUAAUAACCCUUUCAGGGUUCUUGUUCACCACCAUCCUGGUCAUGAUCAUUCUAUGGUUGAGAAAGAGAAGGUCAAACAGAAUGACCUUUGGACGUUUGAAUUCGUCUUCAACAGCAGAUCCUGAGAUGGCCUCCAUCCCGGGUUUACCAGUAAGAUUUAGUUAUGAAGAGCUUGUUGCUGCAACUGAAAAUUUUAAUAAUCAAAUUGGCAGUGGUGGAUUUGGUACUGUGUAUAAGGGUACUAUAGCAGACAAGACUGUAGUGGCAGUGAAGAAGAUGAAGAGUUUAGGAGUUCGAGGGAAGAUGGAGUUUUGCAACGAGACUGCUUCAAUUGGAAACAUCCACCAUGUCAAUCUCGUCAAGUUAAGAGGUUUGUGCAUCCAUGGGAAGCAGUACUUUCUAGUUUAUGAUUAUAUGAAUAGAGGUUCACUGGAAAAGAUUCUUUUUGGGAAUGAGUCUAAUGCUCCUGUCUUAGAAUGGCAAAAGAGAUACGAAAUAGCGCUUGGAAUGGCACGGGGUCUGGCUUACUUGCACAGUGGAUGCCACAGAAGAUCAUCCACUGCGACAUUAAGCCUGAAAACAUUCUUUUGCAUUCAGACUUUCAAGUAAAAAUAUCAGAUUUUGGGCUUGCCAAGCUGCUGAGCCAUGAAAAUUCCAAACUGUUGACAACACUGAGUGGAACUCGGGGCUAUCUUGCACCUGAAUGGCUUACUAGCCAUGGAAUCACUGACAAAACUGAUGUAUAUAGCUAUGGAAUGGUUUUACUGGAACUGGUGAGGGGAAGCAGAAAUUUCUUGUUCCAGUGCAGCAGCACUGAAAGUGAUGUCAGUGAAGCAAAUGGACCAUCUUUCACUUCAACCAGUUGCAACCUUGGAAUGGUGUAUUUCCCUCUACUUGCACUUGAAAUGCAUAAGCAAAGAAGAUAUAUGGAACUAGCCGACCCAAGACUAGAGGGUCAGGUUAGGAUUGAGGAGGUAGAGACUCUAGUGAGAGUAGCAUUAAGUUGUUUACAUAUAGUUCCAACACUAAGGCCAAGUAUGACUAAUGUGGUAGCUAUGUUGGAAGGCAGAUUACCUAUAAGGGAGCCUAGGGUUGAGGCACUAGAGUUCUUAAGAUUGUAUGGUGGGAAAAUCACUGAGACAUCCAGACUGCUCACAAGGAUUCCUGGUUACAAGAAAAGACCCAGCUCUAGGUAUAUAGGCGGCAUCCAGGUGAGAUUUGAUGGUUUCCCUAUGCUGAGUUUUGAUUAUCCAACUGACACUCUCGUCAUAGGACAGGGUUUGUAUGGCGGUAAAUCAUUAGUCAGUGCUGUUUCAAAUGGUAACUCCUCCCACGGUAUUUAUACUCUUAAUAUUACCAGUGAGGAUAUGGUGCUGCAAUGGAAGAGCCAGACUUUUUGGCUACUAUCCAUGGAACCAGAAGCUUACAAGACCUCAAAUACGCCGGUGUCCUAUAUGGAAAUGAACAGUACUGGCUUGCAUUUAGUUGGGGAGGAUGGCUUGCAGGUUGUUUUGCAAGUUGCCUUGGUACCCUCAGAUGCAAAGAUUGCCUGGUUGGGAAGUGAAGGGAUUUUCAGCAUCAACAUGGAAGUCAACAAUAUGGCGCUGGAUUUUACAAUGCCAGUAGAUAGUUGCCAAGUUCCAUUCAUGUGUGGAAAGAUGGGAUUAUGCACGAAUCAGACGUGUGUAUGCCCUUCAGAUUUCUCUGCUGAUCAGAAUUACAGUUGUGCUCCGAAACAAGUUUCAGAGGGGACAAUCUCUUUGCCUUCUGCUUGUACUGCAACAGGUAAUGUCAGUGAAGUUAAUUCCUCGACUGUUUAUGUGCAAAUUCAAAAUGGCAUAGACUAUAUUGGUAAUCAUUUCACUGAGCCUGUGGAAAUUGGUGUGAACUUAUCACUAUGUCAGAAUCUAUGCUCACAAGAUUGUUCUUGCUCCGGGAUUUUCUUUGAAAAUUCAUCUGGUUAUUGUUAUCUCCUUGAUUACAAUAUGGGUGGUUUCAUGUUAAACUCUGAUGUUCAGGGAGGUCCAUUAGGGUACAUAAAGGCUAUCCUAAAGAUAUCUCAAGUAUCGACUGAGCAAGAGAAACAUAGUUUUCCAAUAUCAGCUUUGGUUUGUCGGGGUUGUUCAUGUUGA